rnacentral:rRNA from 1 species
AUACGGAGGGUCCAAGCGUUAUCCGGAAUCAUUGGGUUUAAAGGGUUCGUAGGCGGGUCAAUAAGUCAGAGGUGAAAUCUUGCAGCUUAACUGUAAAAUUGCCUUUGAAACUGUUGACCUUGAAUUACUGUGAAGUGGUUAGAAUAUGUAGUGUAGCGGUGAAAUGCUUAGAGAUUACAUAGAAUACCGAUUGCGAAGGCAGAUCACUAACAGUAUAUUGACGCUGAUGAACGAAAGCGUGGGUAGCGAACGGGAUUAGAUACCCGGGUAGUCC